rnacentral:tmRNA from 1 species
GGUCAUCAUCACGGGAUAGGUUCCGGCGGCGACCCGCCAACCGGCUCCGAAACUCAGCGGGUGUGGAUGACGGCGUGCUUCGCACGGUGUGUUGCCGGCAUCCGAGACCAAACACCGGGCUAAGCAUGUAGUGCCGGGCAUGGAGUGCCUUCGGACGGGGGUUCGAUUCCCCCCACCUCCACCA